UAAGGAAUAUUGCACAAUGGGCGAAAGCCUGAUGCAGCAACGCCGCGUGGGUGAUGAAGGCCUUCGGGUCGUAAAACCCUUUUCUGGGGGAAGAGUAAGGACGGUACCUCAGGAAUAAGCACCGGCUAACUACGUGCCAGCAGCCGCGGUAACACGUAGGGUGCAAGCGUUAUCCGGAUUUACUGGGCGUAAAGCGCGCGCAGGCGGCAUCGUAAGUUGGACGUGAAAUCUUUCGGCUUAACCGGGAGGCGCCGUUCAAAACUACGAUGCUCGAGGGCAGAAGAGGGGAGUGGAAUUCCCGGUGUAGUGGUAAAAUGCUUAGAUAUCGGGAGGAACACCAGUGGCGAAGGCGACUCCCUGGUCUGCACCUGACGCUGAGGCGCGAAAGCGUGGGGAGCGAACGGG
rnacentral:rRNA from 1 species